rnacentral:rRNA from 1 species
GGCCUCAAAUAAUGUGCGACUACCCC